UACGGGAGGCAGCAGUGGGGAAUAUUGCACAAUGGGCGAAAGCCUGAUGCAGCUAUGCCGCGUGUAUGAAGAAGGCCUUAGGGUUGUAAAGUACUUUCAUCGGGGAGGAAAAAACAAAACUAAUAAUUUUAUUUCUUGACGUUACCCGAAAAAGAAGCACCGGCUAACUCCGUGCCAGCAGCCGCGGUAAUACGGAGGGUGCUAGCGUUAAUCAGAAUUACUGGGCGUAAAGAGCACGUAGGUGGUUUUUUUAAAGUCAGAUGUGAAAUCCCUGGGCUUAACCUAGGAACUGCAUUUUGAAACUGAAAUACUAGAGUAUCGUAGAGGGAGGUAGAAUUCUAGGUGUAGCGGUGAAAUGCGUAGAUAUCUGGAGGAAUACCUGUGGCGAAAGCGGCCUCCUAAACGAAUACUGACACUGAGGUGCGAAAGCGUGGGGAGCAAACAGGGAUUAGAUAC
rnacentral:rRNA from 1 species